rnacentral:rRNA from 1 species
ACUGUCUGUCAUACAAUAACAAAGAGAUACAACUCUUA